rnacentral:rRNA from 1 species
UACGUAGGGUGCAAGCGUUGUCCGGAAUUAUUGGGCGUAAGGAGCUCGUAGGCGGUCUGUCGCGUCGGCUGUGAAAACUCGGGGCUCAACUCCGAGCUUGCAGUCGAUACGGGCAGGCUAGAGUUCGGCAGGGGAGACUGGAAUUCCUGGUGUAGCGGUGAAAUGCGCAGAUAUCGAGAGGAACACCAGUGGCGAAGGCGGCGAUCUGGGUCGAUACUGACGCUGAGGUGCGAAAGCGUGGGGAGCAAACAGG